UACGAAGGGGGCUAGCGUUGCUCGGAAUCACUGGGCGUAAAGCGCACGUAGGCGGAUUCCUAAGUCGGGGGUGAAAUCCUGGAGCUUAACUCCAGAACUGCCUUCGAUACUGGGAAUCUUGAGUCCGGAAGAGGUGAGUGGAACUGCGAGUGUAGAGGUGAAAUUCGUAGAUAUUCGCAAGAACACCAGUGGCGAAGGCGGCUCACUGGUCCGGUACUGACGCUGAGGUGCGAAAGCUAGGGGAGCGAACAGG
rnacentral:rRNA from 1 species